UGAUAAUGUGUCUGAUAGUGUGGAGCUCUGCUUCUGGAUCUGGUCAAAACGGCGGCGUUAACGGGGUUUCUCUCUAUCCAAGCAAACUCCUUAUGCAAGAGGUGACCAGAGCUGGUAUGGAAGGGUUUGAGGCUUUUAGAGAGUAUGGUCCUCUCAAAGUUGAUGUGAUAAGAGAGCUUUGUUAUGUUGUGUCCAUUAGCUUCUCUCUUGAAAGAGCUUGUUAUGUAACUUGUUAGCUACGCAGGAAAAGAAAUAGCAGAGGAAGAUGACAUCCAAAGACUGCAUUUAAGACAAUAGCAAAGCGAAAUCCAUAGAUUGAAACUCAGGCUAUCUGAAAUAUAUUACCACAAUCUUUUUAGAGUAAGUAAGGUCUUUCUUUAUCAAUCUUUGUAAGUGCAUGUUUUUUUUUUGUGUUCCUGGUUGUUUAGCUAUCGAUAUUUUUAGCUCAGAACCAAAAUAAAGACUUAAAGAUUGGCUUGACCCUGUCACAACUGCUCGCUUUCCCUGUGCUGUUGUCUCAGAUCUCAAGCGGUAAAACAUGAUCAAUGCUCUUUGAACGGAUGGGACUUCAAAAGUACUUCCAGGCCCAGUAAUAGCUUUAAAGAAUCAUCUCUACUUUCUGUAGAUAAAUUGUUAUAUCUGCUGAUACUUGUAUUCAUUCUCCGUUUCAAAGUUAAAGCCAAGUUCUUGUCGUUA